rnacentral:lncRNA from 1 species
UAAGCCUUGAUGAACAGGGGUGAUGGAAGAUAUUUCUGACGGCCUAUAGGCAACUCAGAGGCAUUUUCUUUCUUCUAGAAUCUUCCCUGUUUAGUGGAAAUUGGAUGCCUGGAAACAAAAUUUUCAGAAUCCUGGCCAGCAGAAUUCUGGGUUAGAUUCUAUCAAUGAGAGGCAUCUGUAUGUUAUUUGAAAGACUAAAGACUGCUUCAGCAGCGGUGGAUGGAUUCAUGAGGAGCAAACUGAGAGAGGCCUUUUUGUAGAGGUCUCUGGGCAUUUACUUGAAUAUCACCCACCAUGGAGCAAGAAGACCUAUGUUCAUUGCCAGCUAUAUCCUGCAAUGCUUGUAACCUUUGAAGUUUCUGAAAGACACUGGUGACCCUGAGAGUUAGUGCUGGCUUUUUCUGACCUUCAUUCCACCAGUCUUUCCACUGAUUUUGUAAUCAUCGAAGUUACUGGAUGUAACAUCCUAUUGCUUGAAACAGGUUAUUUCCUUCCAAUCCCAUCCCAAAUGGAGGUUGCAGCAGGGUAGAGUUUUUGGACAAUCUUGUUUACUGCUGCAUCCCCAGUGUCAAGAAGGCUGCCUGAACAUAGAAAGUCUUCAAUAUAUAUUUGCUGAAAUAAAAGUAAAAAUUCAGUCUGGUGUCUCCAUAAUCACAGCCAUGGCCUUGUAAACAGGUAGUGAUGCGGACAGAGCCAUCUGUGCUGCGCUGCAGACCCACACAGAGGUCUACUGGAAGGGAGGAGCCCGAGGCGAGUCCACUGAAUGUGGGCACUUCCCAUUAUUUUUGGUAAGAAAACAACUGAAGAGAUGCCAUCUACUUCUUAGGCCAUUGUACCCAGAGCUGCAUGAUAUCAGAUUGUUCUAAUACUGGUGAUGUCAGGAUUCUCCACUGUAAAUCUACUUUUUUGGUAAUUAAUCAAUAUCUGUAAAAAGAUAUUAUGUGAAUACAUAAAAAUAUUGUUUCAUAGCAAGAUUUUACUUCCAGUUUUAGCAUCCACUGAUGAUUUUUACAGUCCAUCUUUCUUUCUGCAUUUAUUAGUUGUUAUUAUACUAUAAGGGAGAGAUUUUCCUUUUAUUUAUUUACUCAUAUCAGAAUGAAAUCAUGUAUUAUUUUAUUCAGUGGAUUAUAAUCCAUUACCAUUAUUAGUUUGCUGCUCAGAUUGUCCUAGAUUUGGCCAAUGGGCUUUUCUUUAGGCUGGCUCCUGUGACUUUUUGAUGUGGUCCUUUGAUUCUGUCAACAUUUCCUGACUUUCUGGGUAAACAAGAUGUUCCAAGCUCAUCUUGUACUUUCUCUAAAGCAGCCCUGAAAUCAGCCAUUUCUGCAGAGGAUCUCUGGAUCGUUUUAGUAAGAAAUGGCAUUUAGAAAGCAAAAACUUGGCAUGAGAUUUCUCAUUGCUACUAUGAGUCAUUGUUUUUAGGCCUUCUCAGUAGGCAGAGACAGGGUAAAUGUGUGCACUAUAUAUGUAUAAAUCUGUGAGGUCUUUAAUAUCUUAGACACAGAUCAAUUAGAGCAAAUCCUUCUCUAUUCUGAGGAUAACCCUUAAGAUGGUGGUCCUGGAGACUCAGGUAACUGAGUGCUAGUUCUUGGAUACUUUAUAGUUCUUGGAGGAUCCCUUAUUAAUCAUAUAGACACACAAAGUUUAUUUGACUUAAGUAACCAACAAAUAUUAAUUGAGAAAUUACUAUGUCCUUCCCUCCCAGAUUUAGUAUUAUUUAAAAAAAAUCACCUAGUGAUUUCAGAAUGCACAGAGACGUACUGUAGGAAACACAUUCACACAAUUCCAAGAAUAUGGUUGAAGUUACCAGAGUAAAUAAUUUAUAUCGUAUCUUUGAAGAAAACUCUCAAGCAUAAUAUGAGAUAUAAAAGUUUGGCUUAAAAAUCAAAAGAAUUUGUUAAAAUUAUUUCUGCUUCUAGUUUUAGUUCUUGAUUUAAAAAACAAUGCACUAUAACAUUUUGUUGUCUGAUUAUAUAACUAUAUAAAAAUUAAUUCU